UACGUAGGAGGCAAGCGUUGUCCGGAGUUACUGGGCGUAAAGCGUGUGUAGGCGGUUGGCUGCGUCCGGUGUGAAAUCUCCCGGCUUACCUGGGAGGGGGCAUCGGAUACGAGCGGACUUGAGGGCAUCAGAGGCCAGUAGAACUCCCGGUGGACCAGUGAAAUGGGUAGAGAUCGGGAAGAAUACCAGUGGUGCAGACGGCUGGCUGGGGUGUACCUGGACGCUGAGACACGAAAGCAUGGGGAGCAAACAGG
rnacentral:rRNA from 1 species